rnacentral:rRNA from 1 species
CCUACGGGGUGCAGCAGUGGGGAAUAUUGGACAAUGGGCGAAAGCCUGAUCCAGCCAUGCCGCGUGUGUGAAGAAGGCCUUCGGGUUGUAAAGCACUUUCAGUGGGGAAGAAAGCCUUGGGGCUAAUACCCUCGAGGAAGGACAUCACCCACAGAAGAAGCACCGGCUAACUCCGUGCCAGCAGCCGCGGUAAUACGGAGGGUGCGAGCGUUAAUCGGAAUUACUGGGCGUAAAGCGCGCGUAGGCGGUCUGAUAAGCCGGUUGUGAAAGCCCCGGGCUCAACCUGGGAACGGCAUCCGGAACUGUCAGGCUAGAGUGCAGGAGAGGAAGGUAGAAUUCCCGGUGUAGCGGUGAAAUGUGUAGAGAUCGGGAGGAAUACCAGUGGCGAAGGCGGCCUUCUGGACUGACACUGACGCUGAGGUGCGAAAGCGUGGGUAGCAACAGGAUUAGAUACCCCUGUAGUC